rnacentral:lncRNA from 1 species
UUUUGGGGAGUUUCUUAUGAGUUGUUAGCAUGUGUUUAGUACCUCAUGUGAGUCCAUCUGUGUAGGAUUGGACCUGAGGAGAGGUGUCUAGCUUCAGUGCUAGUUGACCCUGAGUUUGUUGAGCAGAGGCUUCAGGUGAGUAGAACUAACUUAAUCUUUUACUUUAAGAAAAUCAAAUGCCUAAAGCAUACUCAUACAUCAUGCUAUGUAAUAGGAUGAUUGCACUAGUUUCACCAUGCCCAUGCACCAUGUUUAUAUGUGAUAGGAUGAUGCAUUAGUUUCACGAAGGUGACGCAUUGCAUUUUAUUGUUUAUGUGAUGAUGAGGUGGGUGGACCAAGGCGACCUCAAUAGCCCGCAAGUCUGUCAAUGAGUCUUUGUCAAUCGGGCGAGUACAUGUAGGAAAGCCCAUGAGAGCUCCUUCGGGGCCAAGUUUUGACAGAGGGAAUGUUGGGGUCAUGUCUAACCCUGAGGGGAAGGACGUUACGUGAACCCUCUAAAAUCACCCGCAAGAGGAAGAGAUUUGCUAGCAUGAACUUAAGCGGGGGUGAGAUGUUUGUUGUGAUAUAAUUGUGAUAUGACGCAUGUCAUGAAUGCAUGAAUAAGAAGAAUAAUUGAAUUGAAUAAAAUGUCUUUAUAAUAAAAUACAUAAAAAGGGUGGAACAUUAAAAUGAAUAAUAAUAUACCUAAAAAUGGAGGAACUAAAUCAAAUGUUUUUUUCUCUGUUUCUACUCACUGGGCUCUUGUAGCUCACCCCAUUCCCUUAACCCCAGUUUUGCAGGGCCAGAGUAUGUCAAGCCAGAGUAAGUCAGAAGAACUAUGGGAUAGAAGAGGUUCAAGCAUGGGUUGCCAUGUUUGGUUGUAAUAGCUUAGCUUGUUUUGUUUAUGUUUAUGUUUAUGUAUAAGAGAUGCUUGUAUGUAUAUGUUUAUGGAUAUAGUGAACGUUAUGUAAGGAAGUUGCUAAAGAGAUGAUAUGUUAUGUAAUGCUAUGUAUGUUUGUUGCUUGCAUAGUUUAGUGGUGGACAUGAGCAUGAAAAUUUAUGGACAUGAUAGAUGGACUUGAUGUAUGGUCCUUAUGUAUAUCAAGAAUAUGAUGAAUGGAAAGAGUAAAGAGUAAUGUUAUAAAGAGAUAGAGCCAAGUUAAGAAAAGUAUAGAUAUGCCAUGUGUUGUAGCAUGAGAUGUAUAGCAUUGUGCUUUGCCUAGAGUGUUGGUAAAUCCCUUUUUGUUAUGCAUGAUCUUGAGAAAAUGUUUCAAAUGUUAUGAGUUUUGAAUGGCCCGUGAGGGAAGAAAGGGUUCCAAUCCCUUGACCCAAAGCGGAUAUGUUUUAAAGCAAGCUUGAUGACCCAUCUGGUAUGAGGUUCUAUGUUUGCAUGCAUAGGUCAAGCUG